ACCUGGGUGCCUCAGUUGGUUGAGUGUCUGACUUUGGCUCAGGUCAUGAUCUCACAGUUCGUGAGUUCGAGCCUUGCCUCGGGCU
rnacentral:tRNA from 1 species